AUGAACGCUGGCGGCGUGCCUAAUACAUGCAAGUCGAGCGAACGGACGAGAAGCUUGCUUCUCUGAUGUAGUCGCCGACGGGUGAGGAAACCGUUGGUAAACUUCCUUAUAGGACUGGAAAAACUUCGGAAACCCGAGCUAAUUCCCGGUAAAAAUUUUUAACGCAAUGCUUUAAAAGAAAAAGACGGUUUUCCUCCCACUUAUAUAUGGCUCCGCGCUUCAUUAUCUAGUUGGUAAGAAAACGGCUUACCAAGGCAAAGAUACAUAGCCGACCUGAGAGGGUGAUCGGCCAAACUGGAACUGAGACACGGUCCAGACUCCUACGGGAGGCAGCAGUAGGGAAUCUUCCGCAAUGGGCGAAAGCCUGACGGAGCAACGCGGCGUGAGUGAUGAAGGUCUUCGGAUCGUAAAACUCUGUUAUUAGGGAAGAACAUAUGUGUAAGUAACUGUGCACAUCUUGACGGUACCUAAUCAGAAAGCCACGGCUAACUACGUG
rnacentral:rRNA from 1 species